CCGCGGUAAUACGAAGGGGGCUAGCGUUGCUCGGAAUUACUGGGCGUAAAGGGCGCGUAGGCGGACAGUUUAGUCAGAGGUGAAAGCCCAGGGCUCAACCUUGGAAUUGCCUUUGAUACUGGCUGUCUUGAGUACGGGAGAGGUGAGUGGAACUCCGAGUGUAGAGGUGAAAUUCGUAGAUAUUCGGAAGAACACCANUGGCGAAGGCGACUCACUGGCCCGUUACUGACGCUGAGGCGCGAAAGCGUGGGGAGCAAACAGGAUUAGAUACCCUGGUAGUCCACGCCGUAAACGAUGAGUGCUAGUUGUCGGCAUGCAUGCAUGUCGGUGACGCAGCUAACGCAUUAAGCACUCCGCCUGGGGAGUACGGUCGCAAGAUUA
rnacentral:rRNA from 1 species